GAUGAACGCUAGCGGCAGGCUUAAUACAUGCAAGUCUAGGGGGCAGCAAUGUCACCGGCGUACGGGUGCGUAACACGUAUGCAACCUACCCGUCAUUGGGGGAUAGCUCGGGGAAGCUCGAAUUAAUACCGCAUAAGAUAGUAGAGAGGCAUCUUUCAGCUAUUAAAGAUUUAUUGAUGACGGAUGGGCAUGCGUUAGAUUAGGUAGUUGGUAGGGUAACGGCUUACCAAGCCUACGAUCUAUAGGGGCUCUGAGAGGAGAAUCCCCCACACUGGCACUGAGGUAAGGGCCAGGCUCCUACGUGAGGCAACAAUAGUGAAUAUUGGGCAAUUGACGAAAGUCUGACCCAGCCAUGCCGCGUGCAGGAAGGAUGCCCUCUGGGUUGUAAACUGCUUUUUUGAGGGAAGAAAAAACUCGUUGCGACGAGAGUUGACGGUACCUUAAGAAUAAGCCACGGCUAACUACGUGCCAGCCGCCGCAGUAA
rnacentral:rRNA from 1 species